UAGCCAUUUGCGUGAUUUUUGAAUGAACUU
rnacentral:piRNA from 1 species